AUGAACGCUGGCGGCGUGCCUAAUACCUGCAAGUCGAGCGAACAGACGAGGAGCUUGCUCCUCUGACGUUAGCGGCGGACGGGUGAGUAACACGUGGAUAACCUACCUAUAAGACUGGGAUAACUUCGGGAAACCGGAGCUAAUACCGGAUAAUAUAUUGAACCGCAUGGUUCAAUAGUGAAAGACGGUUUUGCUGUCACUUAUAGAUGGAUCCGCGCCGCAUUAGCUAGUUGGUAAGGUAACGGCUUACCAAGGCGACGAUGCGUAGCCGACCUGAGAGGGUGUUCGGCCACACUGGAACUGAGACACGGUCCAGACUCCUACGGGAGGCAGCAGUAGGGAAUCUUCCGCAAUGGGCGAAAGCCUGACGGAGCAACGCCGCGUGAGUGAUGAAGGUCUUCGGAUCGUAAAACUCUGUUAUUAGGGAAGAACAAAUGUGUAAGUAACUAUGCACGUCUUGACGGUACCUAAUCAGAAAGCCACGGCUAACUACGUG
rnacentral:rRNA from 1 species